rnacentral:piRNA from 1 species
UACCACACUAUAGAUGGAGUAUACCACUCA